AUACGUAGGGGGCAAGCGUUGUCCGGAUUUACUGGGCGUAAAGGGUGAGUAGGCGGUUAUAUAUGUCAGGUGUAAAAAGCUAUGGCUUAACCAUAGUAAGCACUUGAAACUGUAUGACUUGAGUGCAGGAGAGGUAAGCGGAAUUCCUAGUGUAGCGGUGAAAUGCGUAGAUAUUAGGAGGAACACCGGUGGCGAAGGCGGCUUACUGGACUGUAACUGACGCUGAGUCACGAAAGCGUGGGUAGCAAACAGGAUUAGAUACCCUGGUAGUCCACGCUGUAAACGAUGAGUGCUAGGUGUUGGGUAGCGAUAUUCAGUGCCGGAGUAAACACAAUAAGCACUCCGCCUGGGGAGUACGGUCGCAAGACUGAA
rnacentral:rRNA from 1 species